UACCAUCCGGAUUCUCAGGGUGCGCUAGAAAGGUAUCAUCAAACCCCAAAAUCAAUGUUACGAAAGUUUUGUUACGAACAGAACUAGGAAUGGGACGAGUCACUGCCCUUCAUGUUGUUCGCUAUUAGAGAAACACCCAACGAUACCCUGGGCGUCUCUCCCUUUGAAUUAUUAUUUGGUAGGAAAGUGAGGGGAUCCCUACAACUUGUUAAGGACAAGCUACUUGACUCCACUGUCCAUAGGCUUGUCACGGUCACCCACCAGUUGGAUACCUUAAAAUCCACCCUUCAUAAAGUCUGCUCAUUUGCCCAUUCUAAUCUCCAGCAAACACAGCGUGGGAUGAAAGCUCAUUUUGAUAAAGCCACUCAAGUAAGAACUUUCAAAGAGGGUGACCAAGUCCUCGCCUUUUUACUUAUUCCUGGCUCCCCUUUACAGGUUAAGUAUCACGGUCCAUAUGACAUCCUCAAGAACAUACAAAUUAUAUAAUUAAGACUCCUGAUCAUCGUAAGUCUCCACAAUUAAUUCAUGUUAACUUGCUCAAAUUAUACAAGGACCGAACGCCUACACUGGACUCUUCAAACUGCAGUGUUACCUCAGUGUUACCUCUUCUUUGUGCGUCAAAUAUAAUCGCAGAAACUAAGCAGAUAUAUUCAGACACAAUCCCAGAUAUAGAGGACACCUCCAGUAACGCAUAUAUACUUGAACAUCUAUACAAUAAUCUCAGUCACCUAUCUUCCUCACAAGCACAGGACUUGAUUUCACUUGUGGACCAACAUCAAGAUGUUUUUUUUUAAAACUUUUACCAGGCACUUCACCUAUCCAUCAAGCUCCUUACCGUCUACAUUCUCAGAAACGAGAGCUGAUAAGGAAAGAGGUUGAUUACCUACUCACACAGGAGUUGGCUGCACCUAGUCACUCAACUUGGGCUUCACCGUGCAUACUCGUCCCCAAACAGGAUGAUCAACUACGCUUCUGCACGGACUACAGACGAGUGAAUGCUGUCACAGUGCCAGAUGCCUAUCAGUUGCCACGAAUAGAUGAUCUUGAUGAGGUGGGACAAUCCAAAUUUGUAACUAAGCUUGACCUCUUUAAAGGCUACUGUCAAAUACUAUUCACUAAGAAAGCUCUGGAAAUUUCAGCCUUCAUUACCUCCUUUGGACUUUUUCACUACUUGGUAGCUCCCUCUGAGAUGAGAAAUUGCCCAGCCACCUUCCAGAGGGCCAUGAAUCACCUCGUUCAAGACCUAGUCGGAUUGUCGGUGUACUUAGACGAUCUUCUCAGAUAAUUGGGAGCAGCAUAUCCAUUAACUUGCUGUAAUGUUCCACAGACUGCAGGAGGCAUGGCUGACGGUUAAAUUGGCGAAAAUUACAUUCGAUGGGGCUACAGUCACCUACUUGAGGCAACAGGUGGAGCAUGGCUGUGUCCGUCCCAAAGCCGCCAACGUGUCCGCCGUACUGGAGUUCCCGGUGCCAGCCUCCAAGAGAGAGAUACGGCGCUCCCUCGGGAUGGCGGGUUUCUUCCGCCGGUUCUGCCCGAAAUUAGCGCGGAAGCAGCCGCCCCUCUAACAGGACUAACCAGUGGAACUGCCAAAUUCGAAUGGACCACACUGUCAGCGGGCUUUCGAUCAACUCAAGAAUCUCCUAGCUCGCGAGCCGGUUCUGCAAGCACCGGACUUCUCCUGGUCAUUCUCUCUACAAACCAACGCCAGAGACAUCGCCUCAGGGGCAGUCCUCCUACAGGAGAAGAACGGAAUCUAUCAUCCGGUAGCCUAUCACUCAGCCAAGUUCAACAGCCACCAGAGGAAUUACAGCAUCAUCGAAAAGGAACUGAUCUCAAUUGUUUCAGCAAUUAAAAAAUUUGAAUGCUACUUGCACGUCAGCGUCAAGCGCCUGCAGGUAUUCACCGACCAUAAUCCUGACAUUCGUACAGCGAAACAAGUUUACUAACCAGCGUCUUCUCCGGUGGUCACUUCUCCUCCAGCUUUAUGACGUGACCAUUCGACACAUAAAAGGCUCUGAAAAUAUCCUCGCCGACGCUCUCUCUCGAAUUCAUCUCUGAUGCUGACGAGAGCUUCUCCAAUUUUCCUCCUGUCUCCACCGUCACCAAGGUUCUUGUUAUCGGGUGUCGACGUCCUCAGAGAGGAGGUAUUACAGCCCUCGUACCCGCCUCGCCAACCACUAAUCUCUCCAACUAACCAUCGGCUUCGAAUACCGUCUCGACCACACCGUGGUGAUAUUAUAGAAACGAAGCUUUUGUAACACGUCUUGACUCACGUUUCGAUCGGGCUACCAAGCUGACGACGGACUUCCACCUCCACACUUCGUCAGUCUCGCUCGCCUCUCACAUUUGGAACCAUCCUCCCUCCUGCUGCUCUCGUCGAUUAUAUCGACGAGAGUUAAAAGAAGACGCGACGAACACGUUAGAACCAUCCUCCCUCCUGCUGCCUGGAUUCGGUUACAUCGACUAUUUUCUCUCGAAGUCUAACUACUGCUGAAGUAAUGUCCCUUGCCGCGUGUCGAUCUGAGAAUCUGGAGGGGGAUGUGGUUAGUUGGAACUCGGCGAGCUGGGUACUCUCAGGAUCCGUCAAGCCACUAGACCUACAAGAGGAGGAUUACUGUCAUCAGAAGAGGUUUCGUUUUGUUGUCUUCCCGAAGAUGAUGAGUCCAAAUGCCGCCAUCGACAUGUGUGCCAGUCUUAAGUCAGAACUGGCACUGCCCCCGCAGCCCCAUUGAGAAUGAGAGACUCUAUACCUCUGCCCUGGCCUUCCUGAAAGAAUGCCAGCCUUACAACCACGCCCGAGGAUUCUUAAGCCUUGGAACUAAAAGUUUUGACAGGGUGUGGUCUACCCUUCAGGGAGACCCUUUGAACUACACCAACUUCGAAGGUUCCAGCGACGUGUCGAAAAGGCAGUGCGCAGUCUACCAAGUGCCACCUUAUUACGGUAGAUGGACUUCUGUCUCUUGCCGAAAGUAUAAGUUUUGCGCAGCUUGUUUGGAACGCCAGCCAGUGGUGGUCAAAAUAAGCGGCCUAUGCGACCAAGGAUCCGAAGAUAUCCUCUUUACGAUAGAACAACUGGACGGUAGAAUGCCAGA